AAAAAAACUUAGAUAGCAAAUGAGUAUUUGACAGAUUACAAAUUCAAAGCUUGAGAAACAUAUGACAAUAAAAUUUAAAUGGGAAAGAUUUAUCUUUUGUGUUUUUUUAUUUAACCUUGAAAUGGACAUUUAUAAAAGCAGACACACCAUAGUUUAAUGCUGUAAUAGAAGAGUCUGCUGGAAAAGAAGAUAAUUUUGAAUUUUAUACUUUGACUUUAUAUCUAAAUGGGUUUUACCAAAUAAAUUUUUUUGAAUAUUAU
rnacentral:lncRNA from 1 species